rnacentral:rRNA from 1 species
UGAGGAAUAUUGGUCAAUGGGCGAGAGCCUGAACCAGCCAAGUCGCGUGAGGGAAGACGGUGCUAUGGAUUGUAAACCUCUUUUGUCGGGGAGCAAUAAGGCGUACGAGUACGCAGAUGCGAGUACCCGAAGAAAAGCAUCGGCUAACUCCGUGCCAGCAGCCGCGGUAAUACGGAGGAUGCGAGCGUUAUCCGGAUUUAUUGGGUUUAAAGGGUGCGCAGGCGGAAAGUGCAAGUCAGCGGUCAAACACGGGGCUCAACCCCGCUCUCGCCGUUCGUAAACAUGUCUUUCUAGAGUGAGCGAGAAGUAUGCGGAAUGCGUGGUGUAGCGGUGAAAUGCAUAGAUAUCACGCAGAACUCCGAUUGCGAAGGCAGCAUACCGGCGCUCAACUGACGCUCAUGCACGAAAGCGUGGGUAUCGAACAGGAUUAGAUACC